AGGGUUCUGUUGGAGCACAUGGGAUUCCAGGGAUGAAUGGGCAAAAGGGUGAGCCCGGGUUGCCUGGAGCAGUGGGACAGAACGGAAUACCAGGGCCAAAGGGAGAACCUGGAGAGCGAGGAGAAAAGGGAGAUGCCGGCGAGAGUGGUCCCAAAGGUGAUGCGGGCGAAAAGGGUGACCCUGGAUCAUCUGCUGCAGGAAUUAAGGGAGAACCUGGAGAAUCUGGUCGUCCAGGGCAAAAGG